UUUUUUUUUUGUCAAUGGGGGAAAGAAGAAGAGCAGUUAGUUAAACGUGCAAAGAAGCAACGCUUUCCAUUUCUAUAAACACAUAAACUCACACCCAUCAAACAAGCUUUGAUUUUGCAUAGCAAGACGAAUUUAAAGUUGAAAACGCAAUCCGAAAUCACUCUCAAGUAAACAGAAGCAAAUACUCAGAAUAUAGUUUAGGAGGGAU
rnacentral:lncRNA from 1 species